rnacentral:lncRNA from 1 species
GGCUCGGAUCUGAUGCUUCUCGGGAUCCUCGCCGGACUGCGAGUUCGAAGCGCUGAUCGCUAGGGCUAGCUGGACUUGGUACUCCUCCUCUGACGAUAUGUAAUCGGAACGGUUCGUCGUGGCGGCGGAGACUGGAGCGGGAGAGGUUGUUGUCGAAGAAGCGGUUACGCUCGCCGCCGGAAUCGACUCCGUUGAGCCUGAUUGAGGAUUCGCGGCGGUUUGUAUCCGAUUCUGAUCCGACGGUGGAGCUCCUGCUGCUGCAUCGUUGGUCCGAUUCUGAUCCUGAUUGCCGCCUCUGUGUAGCUUCUUGAAGAUAUGCUUCAUCGUUUCGCCGUGAGAUUCUUCGGUUUGGUGAGGGGAAGUAGUGAAAAGUGACGACGGAGGACUUGGCCGGCGAUGAAAUAGAGAGGGAAUCGAAUUACGAUUAUGCCACUGUGUUGACCUUGUUUGUUUUAUUAUCCAAUGGCGAUGAAGCGAAAGAGGGAAUGUGACACGUGGCAUGCGGAUCCACACGCUGGAAACUUUUUACGCGGCUAAAAGGGUAAAAGUGUGAAUAAAAUGAAAUAUUUUUCUUUUAUUGUAUGUCGGAAAAAAUUCUCAUGUACUGUAUACACUUCUUCUCUAGAUGCAAAAGGGUUUCAAUCCAUAGCCAUACGAUUUGUAAGAUCACAAAAGUUUAACACCUAAAAGGUAAAACCUAGGCCUGGGCAUUUCGCCUGGAUUUAAAAAUUCGAACUCGAAUCGAACCAAUAAUACCGAACCCGAAAAUUUACAAGUAUCUAGAUGAUCAAAAAUUCUUAUACUUGGAAGAAACGAAGCUGAAAAGAACCAACACAAAUAGAUCUGAUCCGUUAAAAAUCAAUUCAUACCCGAUUUAAGAAUAUCAAUAUCUAAAAUAUGAUUUUGUAACAUUUUAAAUAAUGUAAAAAUUUAAAUAUAAAUUUAGAGAUUAAAGUUUCAAUUAGUAACAGUUUUUUUUUGUUAUUUUGCAAAAUUUAAAAUAAAUAUGACAAACUUUAGCUAAAUUUGAUGCGUUAUUUAUUUAUGAAGACAUUUUUACUAUAUGGUUCAAUAUUGUACACAUUCCAUCUUUGAUCGGAUGUAUCUAUUGUUUGGGGAGGAGUUUGAGGUGGUUUUGGUAAUCAAUAUCAAUGUUUUAAUUAAAAAGGUGGAACUAUUUUCUUAAGUUUUUGAGUAACUAGCAUGUAUUUUGGUGUGUAAUAUUUGUUUUUAUAGGUUUCAGUUUAAACUUCACUCCUGUAGUGGCUACAUUUGCUAAUUACUCCAAAGAGUAAAACAGUUAUCACCAUUAUAAGCAAUGACAGCAUAAAUAAAUAAAUGAAUUUUAAUUAUUUAUUUUCUUAUUUUUAGUAAAAUAGAAUUCUCUCCAACCACAUGUAUUUUUUCAAAUGGAUUUUGAUCAUUUACAGGCUGCCAAGAUUCUUCCUGCAUAUGAAGAUUUUCAGAUCGAUCAUAAACAAAAUAACUGAUAACCAGGUUUGAGUGUGGAUGAUUAUAAGACAUGUGGGGACAGGGCUCUACGUACUCGGAAUCAUAAGGUAUAUCAAAUGGAUUUUGAUCAUUUACAGGCUGCCAAGAUUCUUCCUGCAUAUGAAGAUUUAGAUCAAUCAUAAACAAAAUAACUGAUAACCGUUUGAGUGUGGAUGAUUUAUAAACAUCUAAGAGAAAAAUGCAAAGAAAAAGUGGAACCAUGUAAGGGGAGUAUGCAAAAUUCCAUAUUCCAUAUUGGGAAAUUAAGAAGAGUAAUUAACUUUUCACUUAAUCAGGUAUAGAAGAAGGCUUCGAGGACACUAAAGAUCAAUAACAUUUCCUAUCAGGGGCGAAGGCAGGUUAUGAGUAGAGAGUGCAUGUGCAUCCAUAGAAAUAAUAAAAUUUAAAAUUUUAAGCUUAAAACAAGUAGAAUUUGACAGGUAAAAUGGUAAAAGGCAAGUUGUGCACCCACGCUAACUCAAGUUCGAUUAUCUUCUAUGUUUUUUUUAUUAAUAGUGCACCCAUGCCAAGUAUCUUCUGGCUUCGCCCCUGUUUCCUAUUACCUAAGCUCAAGUCAAAGAGUAACAACGAAGCUCAUCAGUUGCGAACUCAGUAGAGAGAAGAAAGAUAAAAUACUUUCAAGGUUAUUGCAGCGACGACUUGGUGGGAGCUUUAGAAGUCCACGAAUGAUUUUCUCGUUUCGUUCUUCUUCUCUUUUACUUCCCAUUUCUCCAACCAACAACCAAAAAAAUGGAAUACAUACAAAUUGAAUAGUGGCAGUUAGAAAGAAAAAAACAUGAAUGGUAGUUUUUUUUUUUGCAGGAAUGUAGUGAAAUGAAAAUAUAUUUAGUAUAUGUAAGCAAAAGUUAUUAUUUUAUAUAAUUUUUAAUUUAUUUUUAUUUUUUGUUUCUGCUUUUUUUUACUUAGAUCAUUACAUUGCUUUCAUAUAUUCAAUUGGAAUUAGUGGAAUACAUUUUAUUUUUCAUUCCAAUCAAAUUGUAAUAUUUUUGUGGAAUCUUCAUGAAUGUCUCAUUGCACAUAGUUUUCAAAAAUGUACAUCCAAUUGCAGCCUUAGUUUAUUCCAUUCAUUUUCAGAUUGACAUAGUCAAUAUUGAUCUUGUAAUUUCUAAAACUAUAAAUAUGAAAAAUGGUUGAUCACGUUAGUUUCGCUGACUUUGUUCUAUUUUUCUAUUUUUCACAAGUAUGAAUAAAAUAAACUAUUUUUAUCUUAUUUGUUGUGUAUAUAUAUUAAAAAUGUUAGGAAAUUUUUUUUAAAACAAAAUUACAAAUCAUUGUUUAUACUAUCUCUUAUCAGAUAUUGAGCCAUGAAGUCUUCUAUCUUCUUCGUUGUUUUUUGUGUUGUUUUGUUGCUCGUUUUGAACUAUCGUGAAGGUAUAUAUCAAUAUACUCGUUUUAUGACUAAUAAUUUGCAGGAAAUAUAAUUAUCAAUCCAAUUCUCAAUUUGCUGCAUUAUCAAAAGAAAACCUAAAUUUUUUUUUAUUACAUAAUUUUAAAUUGAAAACUCAUUUUUAUCCUUUCUCUUAUCAGAUAUCCAGCUACGAAGUUUCCUAUAUUUCUGUUUUUAUUAUUUAAUUUUGAAAAAAAAUAGUAGAGUUCAUUGAAUUACUAUUAAUCCUAAUUAAAAAUAUUAAAAUUAUAUAUUUAUAAUAAUAUUUUUAAUAAUAUAAAAAAUCUUCAUGAAAAUAAUUUUUUGAUACAUUGAAUUUCUUAAUCUUCAUAUUGACGUAGUUAACUAUGAUUUUGAAAUUUCCAAAUUUAGUGUAAAAAAUAUUAAAACAAGAUGAUCACGUUAAUUUCGUUGACAUUGCUUUAUUUUUCUAUUUUUUAAAAGUGUAAUUAAACAAACUAUUUUAUCUUAUCUAUUGUGUAUAUUUAUUAUGAGCGUUAGAAACUUUUUUUUAACAAAAAGACAAAUCAUUUUUUUUUAUGAUAUCUCUGAUCAAAUAAUAAGUCAUGAAGUCUCCUAUUUUAUUCAUUGUUUCUUGUGUUUUCACAUGAUUUUUUGUCGACUUGUUUCUUGUGUUGAUUUGUUGCUCGUUUUGAGCUAUCCAGAAGGCAUAUAUUAAUUUUUGUUUUAUGACUAAUAAUUUGCAGAAAAUAGAGUUUUUUUUUAACCAUUUGGAAAAUAGAGUUAUCAACCUGAUUUCAAUUUUCUGCAUUAUCAAAAGAAAACUAAUUUUUAUUUAUUAAAUAAAUCUUCUUUCCAUCGUUACUAUAAAACAGGAGAAGCAAUAGCUCUUCGCUACAGGUGUAACGUUACAAUGAAGGGUCGUGGAACAUGCGGAAAUAAUGGAAUACAGCGUUGUCUCAAUGAUUCCAAGGAAACCAAAUACUUUCGACUUGUUGAUCAAUGCAGUAAAUGUGAAGACUCUAAACCCCCUAAAUAUCGUACCUGCAGUUGCAGUCAACCUAACCCUUACCAAUGCAAAUAAAUUCAUAUCGGGGUCAAUUAUGCAUCCAAUAUAAAAAGAUAUAUUUUAAUUUUAUUUUCUUAGUAAUAUAUAUAUAUAUAUAUAUAUAUAACACACUUCCAACCUGAUUUCAAUUUUCUGCAUUAUCAAAAGAAAACUAAUUUUUAUUUAUUAAAUAAAUCUUCUUUCCAUGGUUACUAUAAAACAGGAGAUGGGGAAUGAGUGAGGGCUCACAUGUAAGGGAUCUGUGAGCCGGGUUGUGAGCGGGAGGGGUUGUCACAAUUAUAUUCAUACUGCAAACUAGAUCCAGGAAGAGGCGUUUGGAAGAUAACCUUGAAAAGCAGAGCACGAUGCCUGGAGAGACCAAUAUUUACAAAACCAAGAGGGAAUACACAAGUGUUCAACGCAGCCUUGUACUCGCUGCUUUUCUCAGUCCACCUUGCCAAUACAAUACUCGAAUCCUCCGCAGAUCCACCCAUAUGCCCUGUGACAAGCUCCGCCAGCCUCUCUACCAGCACGUCAACACUAGCGGAACGACAAUCCUGUGAAAUGCAUUGCGCAAUCUGCACCAACUCGUCAAGAGAAGUAUCAACGGGACGAUUCACAACCACAGCUUCGAAUCCACGUGUCCCUCGAUUGCUCUCGAGAUCUUCUAACGACGGCAUAUCUCCCUGCUUAGCUGAGUCUGUGGUGAGACUGUAAACGUCGUAGAAUCCAUCUACGAUCUUCUCCUCGUAAUCAAGCACACCGUAUUCCUAAGAGAAGAAGCAUUAUAACAGGUUCAAAGAAGAAACAAUGCAUACAAAUUGUCCUAACAAACUUUUUACAAUUUUUCUUAGAUUGAAUCUUUCCCUCUGCUAACAUUCUCUAUAACCUAUGAAACUCCAUUCAUCUCCUGCCACGUGUCUUCAUCCCUCUUUUACCUGUAUCAGCGAGAACAACUUACCCAGUACUGCCUCGAUAGCCUCUGGGCGAUAACCUCCGACGAAUCCCUCCUCGGAUCCAUCCGAUGAUGGCUUCCUAAGCUCAGAAGCGUCGCGGCUCGGAUCUGAUGCUUCUCGGGAUCCUCGCCGGACUGCGAGUUCGAAGCGCUGAUCGCUAGGGCUAGCUGGACUUGGUACUCCUCCUCUGACGAUAUGUAAUCGGAACGGUUCGUCGUGGCGGCGGAGACUGGAGCGGGAGAGGUUGUUGUCGAAGAAGCGGUUACGCUCGCCGCCGGAAUCGACUCCGUUGAGGCUGAUUGAGGAUUCACGGCGGUUUGUAUCCGAUUCUGAUCCGACGGUGGAGCUCCUGCUGCUGCAUCGUUGGUCCGAUUCUGAUCCUGAUUGCCGCC